CGCUCCCAGGCCUUGUACACACCGCCCGUCACAUCAUGAAAGCCGCUUGUACCCGAAGUCGGCCCCUUAAAAGGUGCCGAAGGUAUGGGUGGUGAUUGGGAGUG
rnacentral:rRNA from 1 species